AUCGUUCUUGGCCACGGCCUACAGAUAAGAAAGGGAGAGAGAGGACUUCUUGCAUCUGUUUUUGGUGGUCAUCAAUGGAGAGCAAGAGCCAAACCCAUGGUGAUGGUGAUUUAGAAGGUGAAAAGGCAGCCAACGGAGGCUCAACAGAGCACGAAAGGUGUCCUAUAGAGGAGGUGGCUUUGGUGGUGCCGGAAACCGAUGACCCAACACUCCCAGUGAUGACAUUUCGUGCUUGGUUUCUGGGUUUAACUUCAUGUGUUCUCCUUAUAUUCUUAAACACUUUCUUCACCUACCGUACUCAGCCUCUCACAAUCUCAGCCAUUCUCAUGCAAAUUGGUGUCCUACCCAUAGGCAAAUUCAUGGCCAGGACUCUUCCUACCAAGGAGUAUAAGAUUUUCGGGUGGGGUUUUACUUUGAAUCCUGGACCUUUUAACAUCAAAGAGCAUGUGAUCAUCACUAUCUUUGCGAAUUGUGGUGUGUCUUAUGGUGGGGGAGAUGCCUACUCGAUUGGUGCCAUUACUGUUAUGAAGGCUUAUUACAACCAGAGCCUCAAUUUUCUUUGUGGGCUCCUCAUAGUCUUGACUACUCAGAUAUUGGGAUGUGGAUGGGCUGGG
rnacentral:misc_RNA from 1 species